rnacentral:rRNA from 1 species
CCUACGGGGGGCUGCAGUGGGGAAUAUUGGACAAUGGGGGCAACCCUGAUCCAGCCAUGCCGCGUGUGUGAAGAAGGCCCUCGGGUUGUAAAGCACUUUCAGUGAGGAAGAACGCCUGGUGGUUAAUACCCAUCAGGAAAGACAUCACUCACAGAAGAAGCACCGGCUAACUCCGUGCCAGCAGCCGCGGUAAUACGGAGGGUGCGAGCGUUAAUCGGAAUUACUGGGCGUAAAGCGCGCGUAGGUGGCUUGAUAAGCCGGUUGUGAAAGCCCCGGGCUCAACCUGGGAACGGCAUCCGGAACUGUCAAGCUAGAGUGCAGGAGAGGGAGGUAGAAUUCCCGGUGUAGCGGUGAAAUGCGUAGAGAUCGGGAGGAAUACCAGUGGCGAAGGCGGCCUUCUGGACUGACACUGACACUGAGGUGCGAAAGCGUGGGUAGCAAACAGGAUUAGAUACCCUUGUAGUC